GCCCGUCUGGACGGAAAGGUAGACGCAGCGUCCUCAAAAGGCGUGGCCCUCGUGGCGUCCCGGUUCGAGUCCGGGGGCGGGCACCA
rnacentral:tRNA from 1 species